GACGAACGCUGGCGGCGUGCUUAACACAUGCAAGUCGAACGAAGAGCGACGGAAGCUUGCUUCUAUCAAUCUUAGUGGCGAACGGGUGAGUAAGAGGAAUCAACCUGCCCUUCAUCGGGGGACAACAGUUGGAAACGACUGCUAAAAACGCAUACGAUCUAAUCUCGGCAUCGAGGAGGGGUGAAAAGUGGCCUCUACAUGUAAGCUAUCACUGGAGGAGGGGCUUGCGGCUGGUUUGGUAGUGGGAGGGGUAACGGCCCACCAAGGCGAGGAGCAGUAGGCGGUCGGCGAGGGUGGGCGGCCAGAUUGGGACUGAGACACGGCCCAGCCUCCUACGGGAGGCAGCAGUGGGGAAUCAUCCGCAAUGGACGAAAGUCUGACUGAGCAACGCCGCGUGAGUGAUGACGGCCUUCGGGUUGUAAAGCUCUGUUAAUCGGGACGAAAGGCCUUCUUGCGAAUAGGGAGAAGGAUUGACGGUACCGGAAUAGAAAGCCACGGCUAACUACGUG
rnacentral:rRNA from 1 species